AGGGGUCAAAGGAGCAAUCCGGUAAGGGUGGGCUCGCGUCCGAUUAGAUAGUUGGUGAGGUAAACGGCCCACCAAGUCGACGAUCGGUAGCCGACCUGAGAGGGUGAUCGGCCACAUUGGGACUGAGACACGGCCCAAACUCCUACGGGAGGCAGCAGUGGGGAAUAUUGGGCAAUGGGGGAACCCUGACCCAGCAACGCCGCGUGAGGGAAGAAGGUUUUCGGAUCGUAAACCUCUGUCCUUGGUGAAGAGGAAGAGACGGUAGCCAAGGAGGAAGCCCGGCUAACUACGUGCC
rnacentral:rRNA from 1 species